rnacentral:rRNA from 1 species
AGCCCAACUCUAGCCCAACCCUCACAACCAAGCAAACUUAAAAAUCCACUUAUCCUCUAAACUAAAACAUUCUCCCAACUUAGUAUAGGCGAUAGAAAAGUUUAUUAGGCGCGAUAGAGACCUGUACCGUAAGGGAAAGAUGAAAUAGCAAUGAACAAGCCAAGCCACGAACAGCAAAGAUAAACCCUUGUACCUCUUGCAUCAUGAUUUAGCAAGAACAACCAAGCAAAGCGAACUUAAGCUUGCCAUCCCGAAACCCAAGCGAGCUACUUACAAGCAGCUAUCCUUUGAGCGAACCCGUCUCUGUUGCAAAAGAGUGGGAUGACUUGUCAGUAGAGGUGAAAAGCCAACCGAGCUGGGUGAUAGCUGGUUACCUGUAAACGAAUCUAAGUUCUACCUUGACCCCCCC